GAUGAACGCUGGCGGCGUGCCUAAUACAUGCCAGUCGAGCGAACAGAUGAGGAGUUUGCUCCUCUGACUUUAGCGGCGGACGGGUGCGUAACACGUGGAUAACCUACCUAUAAGACUGGGACAACUUCGGGAAACCGGAGCUAAUACCGGAUAAUAUAUUGAACCGCAUGGUUCAAUAGUGAAAGACGGUUUUGCUGUCACUUAUAGAUGGAUCCGCGCCGCAUCAGCUAGUUGGUAAGGUAACGGCUUACCCAGGCAACGAUGCGUAGCCGACCUGAGAGGGUGAUCGGCCAGACGGGAAGUGAGACACAGUCCAGACUCCGACGGGGGGAAGCAGUAGGGAAUCUUCCGCAAUGGGCGAAAGCCUGACAGUGCAAAACGGGGUGAAGGAUGAACGUCUUCGGAUCGUAGAACGCUGUUAUUAGGGAAGAACAAAUGUGUAAGUAACUAUGCACGUCUUGACGGUACCUAAUCAGAAAGCCACGGCUAACUACGUG
rnacentral:rRNA from 1 species